CCUACGGGAGGCAGCAGUGAGGAAUAUUGGUCAAUGGACGAGAGUCUGAACCAGCCAAGUAGCGUGAAGGAUGACUGCCCUAUGGGUUGUAAACUUCUUUUAUAUGGGAAUAAAACGUUCCACGUGUGGGAUUUUGUAUGUACCAUAUGAAUAAGGAUCGGCUAACUCCGUGCCAGCAGCCGCGGUAAUACGGAGGAUCCGAGCGUUAUCCGGAUUUAUUGGGUUUAACGGGAGCGUAGGGGGAUUGUUAAGUCCGUUGUGAAAGUUUGCGGCUCAACCGUAAAAUUGCAGUUGAAACUGGCAGUCUUGAGUACAGUAGAGGUAGGUGGAAUUCGUGGUGUAGCGGUGAAAUGCUUAGAUAUCACGAAGAACUCCGAUUGCGAAGGCAGUUCACUGGACUGCAACUGACACUGAGGCUCGAAAGUGUGGGUAUCAAACAGGAUUAGAUACCCCAGUAGUC
rnacentral:rRNA from 1 species